rnacentral:lncRNA from 7 species
AUGUGGCAGCAGCGCUGGGAUGGGGGGUGGCACACAGCACAGCCACACUGUGUGCCAUCAGUGUUGGUGCUGUGCCCACAUGGCCGUGAGCCACAGCCACACUGCGCCAUCGCCACCGCCUUGCCGUGCUCGGUGGCCUCGUGGCACAUCCGUGCCCGGUGCCACCUCCAUUCCUUGCCGUGCCCACAUGGCCACAUGUCACCUCCCUGCCCUGUGCCACUGCCAUCUGAUUGCCCGGUGCCACCUCCAUGUUGUUGCUGUGCCCACAUAGCCACGUGUCACAUCCACGCCCGGUGCCAUCGCCACCUCCUUGCCAUGCUUGGUGGCCACAUGUCACAUCCCUGCCCUGUGCUACUGCCAUGCAGUUGCCAUGCUUGGUGGCCAUGUGCCACCUCCCUGCUCGGUGCCACCUCCAUUCUUUGCCAUGCCCACAUGGCCACAUGUCACCUCCGUGCCCUGUGCCACCUCCAUGUUGUUGCCAUGCUUGGUGGCCAUGUGCCACAUCCAUGCUCAGUGCCACCUCCAUGUUGCUGCUGUGCCCAGAUGGCCACGUGCCACUUCCAUGCCCGGUGCCAUCGCCAUCUCCUUGCCAUGCUUGGUGGCCUCGUGGGAUAAUGGGGGGGCAGGGAUGAUGGGGGGCAGGGAUGAGGGGGGGG